rnacentral:tRNA from 1 species
GGCUGGGUAGCUCAAUGGUAGAGAGUUGGGGCCUUAGCGGGAGAGUAGGCAAGGUCCCGCAGGACUUUGUCAGGCUACGAAGGCACUCUACUCCUACGCGAACGGAUAGCGGUGUACCCAAAGAUACAAGUUCGAUUCUUGUCCCGGCCA